rnacentral:rRNA from 1 species
CCUACGGGAGGCAGCAGUGGGGAAUAUUGCACAAUGGGCGAAAGCCUGAUGCAGCGACGCCGCGUGAGGGAUGACGGCCUUCGGGUUGUAAACCUCUUUCAGCAGGGAAGAAGCGCAAGUGACGGUACCUGCAGAAGAAGCACCGGCUAACUACGUGCCAGCAGCCGCGGUAAUACGUAGGGUGCGAGCGUUGUCCGGAAUUAUUGGGCGUAAAGAGCUCGUAGGCGGCUUGUCACGUCGGGUGUGAAAGCCCGGGGCUUAACCCCGGGUCUGCAUUCGAUACGGGCAGGCUUGAGUGUGGUAGGGGAGAUCGGAAUUCCUGGUGUAGCGGUGAAAUGCGCAGAUAUCAGGAGGAACACCGGUGGCGAAGGCGGAUCUCUGGGCCAUUACUGACGCUGAGGAGCGAAAGCGUGGGGAGCGAACAGGAUUAGAUACCCUGGUAGUCCACGCCGUAAACGUUGGGAACUAGGUGUUGGCGACAUUCCACGUCGUCGGUGCCGCNGCUACGACAUUAAGUUCCCGUCCCGUCGGGAGGUACGGCCGGCCGAAGGACGUAAAACUAACAAAGGUAAAGUUAGUACGGCGUUGUAGACGUUGCCGAACGGACGACGACGAGGGGAGGAGG